rnacentral:rRNA from 1 species
UACGUAGGGUGCAAGCGUUAAUCGGAAUUACUGGGCGUAAAGCGUGCGCAGGCGGUUAUGUAAGACAGAUGUGAAAUCCCCGGGCUCAACCUGGGAACUGCAUUUGUGACUGCAUAGCUAGAGUACGGUACAGGGGGAUGGAAUUCCGCGUGUAGCAGUGAAAUGCGUAGAUAUGCGGAGGAACACCGAUGGCGAAGGCAAUCCCCUGGACCUGUACUGACGCUCAUGCACGAAAGCGUGGGGAGCAAACAGG